GGUAAUAUACUUUAUAUAGAAGAUCUAGUUUGCAUCUAGAAAGAAACAUUUAUGUUUUUUACCA
rnacentral:tRNA from 1 species